UAUUGCUUGAACAGGCGUCUCCAAAAGACAAAUGUAACUGUCAACAGUAUACAUCCGGGCAUUGUUGAUACUGAAAUCAACAGAAGCUUCAGUGACCUUGGAAUGUGGAAAAUGUUUUUCCAGAUAUCGAAAAUCAUCGGUCAACUAAACAAUGGUAUUCACGAAUAAAUCAACAAAAGGAAAGACGAAAAAUCCGUUUGAAGGUGCUAAAACUUUGAUCAAUGCAGCUGUAAAUCCAGACUUAAAAGAUACUAGAGAUGCUUACUAUUGUGACAUGAGAAUCCAGCAGGCUAACAGUCUAGCAAGAAAUCAAGAGAAGCAAGAAGCACUUUGGAAAUACUCUCUAGAUUGUCUACAAAAAUACCUAAAGCCUGAAGAUAUUGAUAAAAUAGAGAAAUUAUAGCCGUUCUAAUUUAAGGUUGUCCAAGUACCGCACUACGUAACAAUCCGGAUUUUACAAUAUUUGUUCAAUUUUUACAUAGCGUUUUCUUUAUCAAUUUUGCUUUACGUCUCUCUUGUAAACAAUGCUGUAAGUAAGCAGUUUGCACGGUGAUAUUUGUAUUGUUUGUAUUGAAUGAUAAAAAAAUGAUACAAGUUAAGAAACUUCAUUAUAUAAAAGAAGAAUGAAAAACCUCAUUUUCAGGAUAAAAAUGCACGGAUUAACCAUUUGCUAGUUGCUAGCUAUUACGUUAAAACUCGUGAAUCAGGGAAUGAGUAUCAAUGAAUGACAAAUUACCAGCAAUUUUUGACAGCAUUUGAAUAUUGAUUUGAUGCAUUAUUUCAAUUACUGUAUACAUGAUUUUUUCGCCCGGGUGUUUUUCGUCCUUAUUCAUUUCAUUCAAAAUGUACUAAUAUAUUAUCUCUGGGAAAUUCAUGCUUAACGGAUUUUUGGUUGAUUUCUAUGUUCGAUUUAUUUCGUAUACGAACUUAAUUACUAAUAGAUAUUUUUACAAGGAUAUAAAACUACAAAGAGACGAAUACCUAGUGAGAUAAUUUAUAAAUAUAAAUUUCACUCUACCUCUUAAGAGGUCAGUGUUUGCUCUG
rnacentral:misc_RNA from 1 species